CAUUCAUUCCUUUUAAAUCUUUUGCAUUUUAUAUGCCAAUAGAAUACAAGACAACGUCUCAUUUUGCUCCUUGGAUUAGCAUGUAACUACACCCUUGAUUGUGUUUGAAAGGUUUGAAAUAUGGCUUUUUUUGCCUUAAAAAAUUGUUAUAAUCCCUUCUUCACAUACUUGAGUAACCAUUGCCUCUUCAUCACUUAAUUCGGGAGCCCCUAUAGAUCGUUCUACUACCAUUUAGUCUCGUUGCUCUCUCUAUAUAUGCCAUCGGUGACAUCUUUUAUUCAUAAUUCUUUAUCUACAUCACUAUGUCUCAAACUCUUUACUGACCUUAGUAACUACAUUCUAUAGCCACAUAAUCUUAGAAAUUGCAUCACUUGAUGUCUCCUAUUUAGAUUAUGUUAAAGAUGAAAAUAAAUCAAGGUAUUAAAGAGGAAAUAAAUCAAAAUAUCAAAGAAGAAGUUAAUUAGGACAUCAAGAAGGAAAUAAAUUAGAAUAUUAAAAAGUAAAUAAAUC
rnacentral:lncRNA from 1 species